AACAUGUGCUCCAGGAUACCGGAGACACUCUGUGCCAGCUGAGGAACAUCUCGCUCCUUGGCUAAGUUCAGGAUCACUCCCAGACCUAUCCGAGCGAUCCGAUCCCUGCAGGAAGGAGAGGCACAGGCAGGCUGCAGUGCUGCAACGUGCAGGUGUUGGAAGAACCUGACUUUGAUGGAAGAGCUCAUGAUGGGACAGGACACGGGGUGCAUAGCCCAGGACCCCCACACCGGAGGAUCUGCUCCAGGAGUUUUCCUGCCUGGCACUUGGUCUCCAGGUCCGCCGUGUACAGCAGGUUCAGCAGCAGGUCCAGGCCCCCCUCCAGACGGAUCACGUCGCACAGCACUUUGGCCACAUCCCUGCCCAGCGUGGGC